rnacentral:rRNA from 1 species
CCUACGGGUGGCAGCAGUGGGGGAUAUUGGACAAUGGGGGAAACCCUGAUCCAGCGACGCCGCGUGAGUGAAGAAGUAUUUCGGUAUGUAAAGCUCUAUCAGCAGGGAAGAAAGAAAUGACGGUACCUGAGUAAGAAGCCCCGGCUAACUACGUGCCAGCAGCCGCGGUAAUAAGUAGGGGGCAAGCGUUAUCCGGAAUUACUGGGGGUAAAGGGAGCGUAGACGGUAAUGCAAGUCUGGAGUGAAAGGCGGGGGCCCAACCCCCGGACUGCUCUGGAAACUGUGUAACUGGAGUGCAGGAGAGGCAGGCGGAAUUCCUAGUGUAGUGGUGAAAUGCGUAGAUAUUAGGAGGAACACCAGUGGCGAAGGCAGCUUACCAGUCUGCGACUGACGCUCAGGCACGAAAGUGUGGGUAUCGAACAGGAUUAGAUACCCGUGUAGUC